UCUUCCCUGCCAAGGGUCCUGAUUUCAAACCAAUCUCACUCUUCCCUGCUAAGUCUUGGGAGGUUUCGCUCUUCUUCGGCUCCAUGAUCAGGCUUGAGAGGGAAGGUAUGGAUCCACGAGAAUCGAUCCGCUUCUAUCUAGGAGCAACUUGCAGUCCACGGAUGAUCAUUUAAGCAAACUCAGGGCCUUUCCUCUUCCAACUCCAACUACUAUAUCAAACCUUCUCUUCCACUCUGCCUCUCUUUGACCUGUAGUGGAUAAACAGCGGCUAGAGAGCAUUUCAUAAACUUAUAAUAUAUUAAAAAUUUAAGAGCGUUGUGUGAUUUAAAAACUGUUUUUAAAAAUUUUUAACACUACAUUGUUUAGAGCAUGUUUGCCAUUGCUUUUAGUGAACGUAUUUUCUUCUACAACACUUCUAUGAAAGCCACUUUUAUGAGAAUCUAGAAAAGUGAUUCUACUAAUUUUUUAUUUUUUAUUUAUAAUAUAUCACAUAAAUACAAAAACGAUUAUAAUAAUCAUAAAUUACUAAAAAAAGACAUUUAUUACAAAAAGAAAAUAUUAUAAUAAAUAAAAAACUUUUAUUACAAAAAAAUAUAUAAACAUUUAUAUUGUUAAAAAAACUAAAAAAAAAUUAUUUUUAUCAAAGGGAAGUGAAAGAUGAAGAGGAGAGUGAGAAGGAAGUGAACAAUAAAAGGGAAAUAGAGAAUAGCUGGAAAUGACAUUUUAGUAAUAUAUGAAAAAGUUUGAAUUGUUUUUUUAAAGAAACAUUUUCCAAGUGCUUCUCUAAAAAACACUUGAAGUGUUUUUCAAAAUAUUGUCAAACACCUAUUUUUUUACUUUAAGAACACUUUUAGGUGUUUUUAGGGCUAAAAACACUUUUAAAAAGCAUAGCCAAACGGGCUCUUAGUCAUAGUUAUUUGAAAAGAAUUUUUGAAAACAAAGUGAAAUAGAGAACGAUACAAUUUUUAAAAUCAGAGUGAAAUAAAAAAUAAUUUUUAGAAAACAAAUACAAGUUAUUUUCAUUAGUUUUUAAAAAUAAAAUGAAAAUAUAAAAUUUUAAAAAUGAAUAAAAAAAUUGAACAUGAUAUCAUUCCUUUUCUCUAUCCAUGAUAUAAUAUCGAAAAUUUUCAAAUAUGAUCUUCUUUUAAAGUACAUGUAUUUUUAUGAAAAUCCUUUAACAUUUCUAAAGUUUUUCAUUGAACAAAUAAAUUUCAAAUCAAGUUAUACUUGAUAUAUAAAAUUCAUUAAUUUCAAAAUUAAUUUGAAACCCAAAAACCAAUUUAAUUAAUAUUAAAAAUUCAUAGAACUCAAUAUCAUUAGAGAGUUAUAGAUCAACUUUUUAUAUUUAAAAUAAAUUUUGGCCUAUAACUUUUUAAUGUUAUUGAGUUCUAUAGUUUCUCCUUUAUUUAUAUAUAUUAAGCAAAUAAACUCCAAAUUAAGCCUUGCAAAUAAACUCUAAAUUAAACAAGGUUUAAUGUUUUGGAUUUAUUAACGGGUUUAAUAAUUUUUAAAAAAUGACUUAAAAUUUAAAUAGUGAAACAAUUAAUAUAAAAAAUUUAUGUACAAAAAUUAAACAACUUUUUGAGUUAUGGGCAUUCCUUUUCAUAAUUCAGUCUUUCUUAAUCAUUAAUAGGGAAGAGAAAACUUACUCAUCAGUUACUGAAUCCAACAUCACCUGAUUUCAAACCAAUCUUACUCUUCGCUGCUAAAUCUUGGGAGGUUUUGCCUGGCUUCGACUACCACUUCCACUUUGGAAACCUCUACGGCAACCGCUCUCGCAAACCACCCUUUAAUUAAGUCAGUAUCCGAAUAGGAAGCAAAGCUAUCGAAAGCACUCUCUUUCCACUGCCAAGUCUUGGGAGGUUCCGCUCUUCUUC
rnacentral:lncRNA from 1 species